rnacentral:lncRNA from 1 species
UCUAAUGCCCGAUUCUAUAUGUGACAGCCGGUUGACGAAAUUCCGUCGUUUGAACAUAGUUUUGUUAGAGACCGCAACUUAGUCAUUAUAUGGAUUGACGAUCCGACUAUUGGAUUGACACCAAACCUUAACACAUUAUAGUACAUAAUAUUUGAGGACCAUAGGAAUUGAUGGAUUGGGAAUCCAACAUGCCGAUCUUCCUAAAUUGAAUUUCUAAGUUUGUAAAACCAAACGUUGAUAGCAACCUAAUUCUAGCAAUUGGUGGAGAUCCGACCGUUGGAUCGUUAUGAAAUUGUAGAAUAUUGUUCUAGAAG